ACCUGGUUGAUCCUGCCAGUAGUCAUAUGCUUGUCUCAAAGAUUAAGCCAUGCAUGUCUCAGUACAGGCCUUUCUAAGGCGAAACCGCGAAUGGCUCAUUAAAUCAGUCAUGAUUCAUUAGAUUAAGCCAAAAAUUUACUUGGAUAACUGUGGUAAUUCUAGAGCUAAUACAUGCAACUGAGCUCCGACCCGGCCGUCAGGCUGGGGAAGAGCGCUUUUAUUAGAUCAAAAACCAAUCGGACUUCGGUCCGUAUCAAAUGAGUUGUGGUGACUCUGAAUAACUUUAGCCGAGCGCAACGGGCUUAGUCCCGGCGCCGUAUCUUUCAAGUGUCUGCCUUAUCAGCUUUCGAUUGUAGGUUAUACGCCUACAAUGGCUGUAACGGGUAACGGGGAAUCAGGGUUCGAUUCCGGAGAGGGAGCCUGAGAAACGGCUACCACAUCUAAGGAAGGCAGCAGGCACGCAAAUUACCCACUCCCAGCUCGGGGAGGUAGUGACGAAAAAUAACGAUGCGGGACUCUUCCGAGGCCUCGCAAUCGGAAUGAGUUCACUUUAAAUCCUUGGACGAGGAUCCACUAGAGGGCAAGUCUGGUGCCAGCAGCCGCGGUAAUUCCAGCUCUAGUAGCGUAUAUUAAAAUUGCUGCGGUUAAAAAGCUCGUAGUUGGAUCUCUGAUUUGGACCGGCGGCCCACUCAAGGAUAGCCCUCGCUGACAAUGGGAGGCGCUUUACGUUCGCUUCGGCGCCUCGGACGGGCGCGGCCGCCCUCAUCGAGGUAGUGGUCGCGUUCCGUAAGGGGGUCAAACGCAGUUGCGACGUGGGCUCUCUUACAGGCGGGUAAGCGAUCCCGGUGGUUCACUGUCCGGCUCCGGAUUGAAAAUGCCGUCGGCUCGCACGGGGUGCUCUUCACCGAGUGUCCCGCGUGGCCGACAAGUUCACUUUGAAAAAAUUAGAGUGCUCAAAGCAGGCAAUAACUCACGCCUGAAUGGUGUUGCAUGGAAUGAUAGAACAGGACCUCGGUUCUGUCCUUUUUAUUGGUUUUCUGAACCCGAGGUAAUGAUUAACGGGAACAGACGGGGGCAUUAGUAUUGCGACGCUAGAGGUGAAAUUCUUGGACCGUCGCAAGACUAACUACUGCGAAAGCAUUUGCCAAGAAUGUUUUCAUUAAUCAAGAACGAAAGUUAGAGGAUCGAAGGCGAUCAGAUACCGCCCUAGUUCUAACCAUAAACGAUGCUAACUGGCGAUCCGUCGGCG
rnacentral:rRNA from 1 species